ACACGUGUCGUCUAACUGGUAGGACACUAGAUUUUGGCUCUAGCAAUCGGGGUUCGAGUCCCUGCGUGUGUACCA
rnacentral:tRNA from 1 species